UGCUCGUGUUGCCACUGAGGCGCAUUUAAUAGGCGUAGUGAGUGGCUUUAUCUGCUUAGCGUAUCUUUAUGGCGUU
rnacentral:tRNA from 1 species